rnacentral:tRNA from 1 species
GCAGUGGUAGUUCAGCGGUAGAAUUCUUGUCUUCCAUGCAGGUGACCCAGGUUUGAUUACCGGCCAGCGCA